UGGUGGAGUGAUCUGUCUGGUUAAUUCCGAUAACGAACGAGACCUUAACCUGCUAAAUAGUCACGCAAAUUCAUUUUUGAUUUGCGGCCGACUUCUUAGAGGGACUUUCGGUGACUAACCGAAGGAAGUUUGAGGCAAUAACA
rnacentral:rRNA from 1 species